rnacentral:rRNA from 1 species
UACGUAGGGGGCAAGCGUUGUCCGGAAUCAUUGGGCGUAAAGAGCGUGUAGGCGGCCCGAUAAGUCCGCCGUGAAAGUCCAGGGCUCAACCCUGGAAUGCCGGUGGAAACUGUCGGGCUAGAGUCCGGAAGAGGCGAGUGGAAUUCCUGGUGUAGCGGUGAAAUGCGUAGAUAUUGGGAAGAACACCUGAGGCGAAGGCGGGUUGCUGGGCUGAUACUGACGCUGAGGCGCGAAAGCCAGGGGAGCAAACGGG